ACCGACUUCUCUAGAGAUGGGAAGGCCUGGGGAAAAAACGGAAAAUUGGGAGGAAAAACCAGGGGGUUUUUUCCGUUUUUUUUCCAAACGGGGAAAAAACAGCUUUGGGGGGGAAAACAAAAAAAGGCGGGACUGGUUUCCCCCCAGUUUUCCGGGUUUUUUCCAGGCCUUCCCAUCUCUAGACUUGCCUAA